rnacentral:rRNA from 1 species
UAGGGGAUAUUGCACAAUGGGCGGAAGCCUGAUGCAGCAACGCCGCGUGAGUGAUGAAGGCCCUCGGGUCGUAAAACUCUUUUCAAGAGGAAGAGGAAGGACGGUACUCUUGGGAUAAGCCUCGGCUAACUACGUGCCAGCAGCCGCGGUAACACGUAGGAGGCGAGCGUUAUUCGGAUUUACUGGGCGUAAAGCGCGUGUAGGCGGCUGAUCAAGUUGGAUGUGAAAGCUCCCGGCUUAACUGGGAGAGGACACUCGAAACUGAACAGCUUGAGUAUGAGAGAGGAAAAUGGAAUUCCGGGUGUAGUGGUGAAAUGCGUAGAUAUCCGGAGGAACACCAGUGGCGAAGGCGAUUUUCUGGCUCAAGACUGACGCUCAGACGCGAAAGCUAGGGUAGCAAACGG